rnacentral:snRNA from 1 species
CCACUCGCAGAAAGAGCGC